UUAAGCGACUAAGCGUACACGGUGGAUGCCCUGGCAGUCAGAGGCGAUGAAGGACGUGCUAAUCUGCGAAAAGCGUCGGUAAGGUGAUAUGAACCGUUAUAACCGGCGAUGUCCGAAUGGGGAAACCCAGUGUGAUUCGUCACACUAUCGUUAACUGAAUACAUAGGUUAACGAGGCGAACCGGGGGAACUGAAACAUCUAAGUACCCCGAGGAAAAGAAAUCAACCGAGAUUCCCCCAGUAGCGGCGAGCGAACGGGGAGCAGCCCAGAGUCUGAAUCAGCUUGUGUGUUAGUGGAACGGUCUGGAAAGUCCGACGGUACAGGGUGAUAGUCCCGUACACCAAAAUGCACAGGUUGUGAACUCGAAGAGUAGGGCGGGACACGUGGUAUCCUGUCUGAAUAUGGGGGGACCAUCCUCCAAGGCUAAAUACUCCUGACUGACCGAUAGUGAACCAGUACCGUGAGGGAAAGGCGAAAAGAACCCCGGCGAGGGGAGUGAAAAAGAACCUGAAACCGUGUACGUACAAGCAGUGGGAGCACCUUCGGGUGUGACUGCGUACCUUUUGUAUAAUGGGUCAGCGACUUAUAUUCUGUAGCAAGGUUAACCGUAUAGGGGAGCCGCAGGGAAACCGAGUCUUAACUGGGCGUUAAGUUGCAGGGUAUAGACCCGAAACCCGGUGAUCUAGCCAUGGGCAGGUUGAAGGUUGGGUAACACUAACUGGAGGACCGAACCGACUAAUGUUGAAAAAUUAGCGGAUGACUUGUGGCUGGGGGUGAAAGGCCAAUCAAACCGGGAGAUAGCUGGUUCUCCCCGAAAGCUAUUUAGGUAGCGCCUCGUGAACUCAUCUUCGGGGGUAGAGCACUGUUUCGGCUAGGGGGUCAUCCCGACUUACCAACCCGAUGCAAACUACGAAUACCGAAGAAUGUUAUCACGGGAGACACACGGCGGGUGCUAACGUCCGUCGUGAAGAGGGAAACAACCCAGACCGCCAGCUAAGGUCCCAAAGUCAUGGUUAAGUGGGAAACGAUGUGGGAAGGCACAGACAGCCAGGAUGUUGGCUUAGAAGCAGCCAUCAUUUAAAGAAAGCGUAAUAGCUCACUGGUCGAGUCGGCCUGCGCGGAAGAUGUAACGGGGCUAAACCAUGCACCGAAGCUGCGGCAGCGACACUAUGUGUUGUUGGGUAGGGGAGCGUUCUGUAAGCCUGCGAAGGUGACCUGUGAGGGUUGCUGGAGGUAUCAGAAGUGCGAAUGCUGACAUAAGUAACGAUAAAGCGGGUGAAAAGCCCGCUCGCCGGAAGACCAAGGGUUCCUGUCCAACGUUAAUCGGGGCAGGGUGAGUCGACCCCUAAGGCGAGGCCGAAAGGCGUAGUCGAUGGGAAACAGGUUAAUAUUCCUGUACUUGGUGUUACUGCGAAGGGGGGACGGAGAAGGCUAUGUUAGCCGGGCGACGGUUGUCCCGGUUUAAGCAUGUAGGCUGAUUGUCCAGGCAAAUCCGGAUAAUCAAGGCUGAGGUGUGAUGACGAGGCACUACGGUGCUGAAGUAACAAAUGCCCUGCUUCCAGGAAAAGCCUCUAAGCAUCAGGUAACAUCAAAUCGUACCCCAAACCGACACAGGUGGUCAGGUAGAGAAUACCAAGGCGCUUGAGAGAACUCGGGUGAAGGAACUAGGCAAAAUGGUGCCGUAACUUCGGGAGAAGGCACGCUGGUGUGUAGGUGAAGUCCCUGCGGAUGGAGCUGAGACCAGUCGAAGAUACCAGCUGGCUGCAACUGUUUAUUAAAAACACAGCACUGUGCAAACACGAAAGUGGACGUAUACGGUGUGACGCCUGCCCGGUGCCGGAAGGUUAAUUGAUGGGGUUAUCCGUAAGGAGAAGCUCUUGAUCGAAGCCCCGGUAAACGGCGGCCGUAACUAUAACGGUCCUAAGGUAGCGAAAUUCCUUGUCGGGUAAGUUCCGACCUGCACGAAUGGCGUAAUGAUGGCCAGGCUGUCUCCACCCGAGACUCAGUGAAAUUGAACUCGCUGUGAAGAUGCAGUGUACCCGCGGCAAGACGGAAAGACCCCGUGAACCUUUACUAUAGCUUGACACUGAACAUUGAGCCUUGAUGUGUAGGAUAGGUGGGAGGCUUUGAAGCGUGGACGCCAGUCUGCGUGGAGCCAACCUUGAAAUACCACCCUUUAAUGUUUGAUGUUCUAACGUUGGCCCCUUACCGGGGUUGCGGACAGUGUCUGGUGGGUAGUUUGACUGGGGCGGUCUCCUCCCAAAGCGUAACGGAGGAGCACGAAGGUUAGCUAAUCCUGGUCGGACAUCAGGAGGUUAGUGCAAUGGCAUAAGCUAGCUUGACUGCGAGCGUGACGGCGCGAGCAGGUGCGAAAGCAGGUCAUAGUGAUCCGGUGGUUCUGAAUGGAAGGGCCAUCGCUCAACGGAUAAAAGGUACUCCGGGGAUAACAGGCUGAUACCGCCCAAGAGUUCAUAUCGACGGCGGUGUUUGGCACCUCGAUGUCGGCUCAUCACAUCCUGGGGCUGAAGUAGGUCCCAAGGGUAUGGCUGUUCGCCAUUUAAAGUGGUACGCGAGCUGGGUUUAGAACGUCGUGAGACAGUUCGGUCCCUAUCUGCCGUGGGCGCUGGAGAAUUGAGGGGGGCUGCUCCUAGUACGAGAGGACCGGAGUGGACGCAUCACUGGUGUUCGGGUUGUCAUGCCAAUGGCACUGCCCGGUAGCUAAAUGCGGAAGAGAUAAGUGCUGAAAGCAUCUAAGCACGAAACUUGCCCCGAGAUGAGUUCUCCCUGAGACUUUAAGUCUCCUGAAGGAACGUU
rnacentral:rRNA from 1 species